rnacentral:rRNA from 1 species
GAUGAACGCUAGCGGCAGGCUUAACACAUGCAAGUCGAGGGGUAUAGUAGCAAUACUAGAGACCGGCGCACGGGUGCGUAACGCGUAUGCAAUCUACCUUUCACAGAGGGAUAGCCCAGAGAAAUUUGGAUUAAUACCUCAUAGUAUAAUACCUUGGCAUCAAGGAAUUAUUAAAGUCACAACGGUGAAAGAUGAGCAUGCGUCCCAUUAGCUAGUUGGUAUGGUAACGGCAUACCAAGGCGACGAUGGGUAGGGGUCCUGAGAGGGAGAUCCCCCACACUGGUACUGAGACACGGACCAGACUCCUACGGGAGGCAGCAGUGAGGAAUAUUGGACAAUGGGCGCAAGCCUGAUCCAGCCAUGCCGCGUGCAGGAUGACGGUCCUAUGGAUUGUAAACUGCUUUUGCACAGGAAGAAACAACUCUACGUGUAGAGUCUUGACGGUACUGUGAGAAUAAGGAUCGGCUAACUCCGUGCCAGCAGCCGCGGUAAUACGGAGGAUCCAAGCGUUAUCCGGAAUCAUUGGGUUUAAAGGGUCCGUAGGCGGUCUUAUAAGUCAGUGGUGAAAUCUCCCCGCUCAACGGGGAAACGGCCAUUGAUACUGUAAGACUUGAAUUAUUAGGAAGUAACUAGAAUAUGUAGUGUAGCGGUGAAAUGCUUAGAGAUUACAUGGAAUACCAAUUGCGAAGGCAGGUUACUACUAAUGGAUUGACGCUGAUGGACGAAAGCGUGGGUAGCGAACAGGAUUAGAUACCCUGGUAGUCCACGCCGUAAACGAUGGAUACUAGCUGUUGGGCGCAAGUUCAGUGGCUAAGCGAAAGUGAUAAGUAUCCCACCUGGGGAGUACGUUCGCAAGAAUG